CCUGACUCAUCAAGCCCGGCCCCUGGUCGCGAAGCUACCGCUUCUUCGUCAGAGAUCACGGCUCCGACACGGUUCACCCCUCCUAACAUGAAGAAUGCUUCAAUAUUAUUACCAAUGUAUGAACUGGCAAAAUCAUAUAGGAGCAAAAUACUUCAAGAUGAAAUAAAACUUUGCCAUGAUAGUGUCCAGAAAAGUAGUCAACACAAUAUAUUUUGUCUUGUCCAUGGAGUAGUUUUGUUACCAUUCAUCAGUCUCAAAAUACUCGGGAAUUGAGGGAAUCCUUUGAGCCGGUGCUUCCUACUGCAGGGUAGUAAGUCUCAAAUGUCAGGUUAUCUCAUUCUCAGGGCCACUAAAACUGUUCAGAGAGUAAGGAGUGAUGUCUGCCUCCUGCUUUGUAAAGCCCCAUGUUAAAUUUUUUUCCUAAGGAUUUGCCUACUAAUGAUCUUUACUUGAAUAAAAUCUUUCAUGGAAACCGGGAUGUGUAUUUCUCACAAACCUAUACUCCACAAAACUUGCAGUAUCUCUGCAUUAAGCACUAGUCAUGGUUUCCCCCUUCAUGGUUAUUUGAAAUAACACUGUAUUUGUGACCACAGAUACUCACUAUGUAUUUCUUUUAU